rnacentral:tRNA from 1 species
UCCCUGCUGGCUCAGAGGGUAAAGAGUCUGCCUAUAAUGCAGGAGACCCAGGUUCAAUCCCUGGGUCGGGGA